rnacentral:rRNA from 1 species
CCUACGGGGGACAGCAGUGAGGAAUAUUGGUCAAUGGGCGCGAGCCUGAACCAGCCAAGUAGCGUGAAGGAUGACUGCCCUACGGGUUGUAAACUUCUUUUAUAAAGGAAUAAAGUGAGGCACGUGUGCCUUUUUGUAUGUACUUUAUGAAUAAGGAUCGGCCAACCUCGUGCCAGCAGCCGCGGUAAUACGGAGGAUCCGAGCGUUACCCGGAUUUAUUGGGUUUAAAGGGAGCGUAGAUGGGUGGUUAAGUCAGUUGUGAAAGUUUGCGGCUCAACCGUAAAAUUGCAAUGGAUACUGGCAGUCUUGAGUACAGUUGAGGUAGGCGGAAUUCGUGGUGUAGCGGUGAAAUGCUUAGAUAUCACGAAGGACUCCGAUUGCGAAGGCAGCUUACUAAGCUGCCACUGACAUUGAUGGUCGAAAGUGUGGGGAUCAAACAGGAUUAGAUAACCCCGGUAGUC